UACGAAGGGGGCUAGCGUUGCUCGGAAUUACUGGGCGUAAAGGGCGCGUAGGCGGAUGUUUAAGUCGGGGGUGAAAGCCCGGGGCUCAACCUCGGAAUUGCCUUCGAUACUGGACAUCUUGAGUUCGGGAGAGGUGAGUGGAAUGCCGAGUGUAGAGGUGAAAUUCGUAGAUAUUCGGCGGAACACCAGUGGCGAAGGCGGUUCUCUGGGCCUGACCUGACGCUGAGGAGCGAAAGCGUGGGGAGCGAACAGG
rnacentral:rRNA from 1 species